UUGAUCCUGGCUCAGAACGAACGCUGGCGGCGUGGAUAAGACAUGCAAGUCGGACGAGAUUUUUCGUUGUAGCAAUACGAUGGAAAUUUAGUGGCGAACGGGUGCUUAACACGUGGGCAAAGUGCCAGGAAGUGGGGGAUAGCCCGCCGAAAGGCGAAUUAAUACCGCAUGUGAUUAGAGAGGACAUCCUUUCGAAAUUAAAGUCGGGGCAACCUGACGCUUUUUGUGGGGCCCGCGGCCUAUCAGCUAGUUGGUGAGGUAACGGCUCACCAAGGCGUUGACGGGUAGCUGGUCUGAGAGGACGACCAGCCACACUGGGACUGAGACACGGCCCAGACACCUACGGGUGGCAGCAGUCGAGAAUUUUUCUCAAUGGGGGAAACCCUGAAGGAGCGACGCCGCGUGGAGGAUGAAUGCUUUCGGGUUGUAAACUCCUGUCAUUUGGGAACAAGGCCUUACGUUAACUGCG
rnacentral:rRNA from 1 species